rnacentral:rRNA from 1 species
GUCGAGGGGCAGCGGGAAGGUUAGCUUGCUAACCUUUGCCGGCGACCGGCGCACGGGUGAGUAACACGUAUGCAACCUGUCCGGUACAGGGGGAUAAGCGGCGGAAACGCCGUCUAAUACCGCGUGACAACCCGAGGGGGCAUCCCCUUGGGUUCAAAGGAGAGAUCCGGUACCGGCUGGGCAUGCGGCGCAUUAGCUAGUUGGCGGGGCAACGGCCCACCAAGGCGACGAUGCGUAGGGGUUCUGAGAGGAAGGUCCCCCACACUGGAACUGAGACACGGUCCAGACUCCUACGGGAGGCAGCAGUGAGGAAUAUUGGUCAAUGGGCGCAAGCCUGAACCAGCCAAGUCGCGUGAGGGAAGACGGCCCUACGGGUUGUAAACCUCUUUUGCCGGGGAGCAAGCCUGAGCACGUGUGCCCAGGCGGAGAGUACCCGGAGAAAAAGCAUCGGCUAACUCCGUGCCAGCAGCCGCGGUAAUACGGAGGAUGCGAGCGUUAUCCGGAUUUAUUGGGUUUAAAGGGUGCGCAGGCGGGCUGUUAAGCCGGCGGUAAAAAUUCAGGGCUCAACCCUGUCGAGCCGUCGGAACUGGCAGUCUUGAGUGGGCGAGAAGUAUGCGGAAUGCGUGGUGUAGCGGUGAAAUGCAUAGAUAUCAAGAGAAACGCCGAUUGCGAAGGCAGCAUACCGGCGCCCAACUGACGCUGAGGCACGUAAGCGUGGGGAU